rnacentral:rRNA from 1 species
UACAGAGGGUGCAAGCGUUGUUCGGAAUUAUUGGGCGUAAAGCGCGUGUAGGCGGCUUUGCAAGUCGGAUGUGAAAUCCCACGGCUCAACCGUGGAAGUGCAUCCGAAACUGCAUCGCUGGAGUCUCGGAGAGGAAGGUGGAAUGCUUGGUGUAGAGGUGAAAUUCGUAGAUAUCAAGCAGAACACCUGCGGCGAAGGCGGCCUUCUGGACGAUGACUGACGCUGAGACGCGAAAGCGUGGGGAGCAAACAGG